ensembl:lncRNA
GUCAAGACAAAUGCUUUCCUUGCCCUGCUGGGUUUCACUGUCCAAAAGGACUAAGACACCGCUGUCCUCCUGGCUUCUAUUGCCCUCAGAAAACUGGAACCCAUUUGUAUCCUUGUCCCCCUGGGACUUACAAUCCCUCUUACGGACUCAGCCAAGCUGAGAGGUGUCAGCAGUGCCCUGCAGGUAUGUUCUGUGGAGACUGGGGAUUAUCCUCUCCAAGUGGUCCCUGCUGGCCAGGAUUCUUCUGCACAGCAGGAGCAAGUGUCCCAAACCCUAAUGGAGCCACAAACACGAGCACUGGUGGCCCAUGCCCACCUGGCCACUUCUGCCCAGCUGGCACAGCUAUACCUCAGCAGUGCCCUGUGGGCACUUACUCAGACAGGCUGUACAUCGGGCAGGAGUCCAGCUGCACAGCGUGCCCAUCUGGCUAUUACUGCCGCUCUGCUGGCCUCACGGCACCCUCAGGACCCUGCUCAGCUGGGUACUACUGCCUCUCUGGAGCUUCCUCGCCAUCGCCACCUGGUGUGUGGGAGAAAGGAGGCCCUUGUCCUGUGAGCCACUUCUGUCCCGAAGGAACCAGCUUUCCCUUAGCGUGCCUUGCAGGGACUUACAACAACCUCACCAGACAAGCUGCGUGCUUUCCUUGUGCUGCAGGCUACUACUGCCCAGAAAAUACUACCAGCUACAGUGCAAAUCCAUGCCCGGCUGGCUUCUACUGCCCCAGAGGAACCAGGUUUGCUACUGAGUUUCCCUGUCCUCGGGGCUACUUUAACCCAGACCCCAUGACACAGAGCUUGGAUAGCUGCUUGCCCUGUCCUCCUGGGCAUUACUGUGGGAAGGAGAACUUGACAGCUGCAUCAGGCAAGUGUGACGCAGGAUGGUUUUGCAUCUCAGCUGCUUGGACACCACGGCCUUUUGAUCUGGAUAAUUACACCAAUGCUAACUGCCUCUGUCCCGCCACUGCCACUGGAGGGAAGUGCAUAGCUGGUUCCUAUUGUCCCACAGGAAGCCCAGAGCCUCUUCCCUGCCGUCCGGGGUUUUACUGCAAUGCCCCAGGUCUGUCCAUCCCCAGUGGGGAAUGUGCUGCUGGCUUUUACUGUAAAGGUGGAGCAACUCUCCCUAAUCCAAGAGAUGAUGUGACUGGGAAUAUCUGCCCUGCGGGGACUUACUGCACUGCAGCAUCGGCAGUCCCCACCCUCUGCCCAGCAGGCACUUUCUCUAGCCUGCCAGGGAGGAGAACGCUUUCUGAGUGCCAGCCUUGCCCCUCUGGCUUCUAUUGUGAGUUACCUGGUCUCAGUGCCCCCACCGGAGAGUGCUGGGAAGGUUAUUACUGUGACAACCAGCAAGGGCCAGUUAUAGAUUUCACCCUUUACCCAUGCCCACAAGGUUUUUACUGCCCACCAGGGACAAACAGGAGCACUCAGUACAGCUGUCCUGCAGGAACCUUUGGACCAAGGCAAAGGCUGAGAACUAUCAAGGAAUGUCAGAGAUGCCCACCGGGAAAAUACUGUGAAUCCCCUGGACUUGCUGCCCCAACAGGAGACUGUGCUGAGGGAUUCUGGUGCAAAAGUGGUGCCCGAGUAAGAAAUCCUCAAGAUGGAGAAUCAGGACUUCCUUGUCCUCCUGGUUAUUAUUGUCCAGAAGGUGCACCACUUCCACUAGAGUGCCCUCCUGGCACUUGGUCUGGCAGCGAAGGCAGCAGCAGUUUGCAGCAAUGCCUGCCUUGCCCUGGGGGAUACUACUGCAAUAGCUCUGGACAGAGGGCUCCCACAGGACCCUGCAGCCCAGGGUAUUACUGUGUCACCAAGGCCCGGACCCCAGCACCCACAGACGGCCUCUCGGGAGCUCCAUGUCCAGUCAAUCACUUUUGUCCUCUUGGAUCCAGGAGUCCAACACCAUGUCCUGCAGGCUCCUACAUGCCACAGACCCAUGGAGAGAAGUGCCAUGCUUGCCCAGAGGGUGAAUACUGUGUCGCUGGGGAGAAGCCAGAGCCAUGUCCCCAGGGUGAGUUAGGAUUCCCCUUACACGCCUGGUUUGCUGUAGAUUUUCUGAAGACUGCUAAUGCUGACCUGCUCUUUCUUUUCCAGGGCACUUGUGUCCCAAGGGCACAGCUCUUCCAGUGGCUUGUCCAGCAGGGUCGUAUAACCCCUCACAAAGGCAAUCCAGCUGCCUCCCCUGUCCUGAAGGGUUCUUCUGCCCCAAAAAUUCCUCUUCAUUUUUGGAGAAUGAGUGUUCAGCUGGCCACUACUGCCCUACUGGUACUGCUGCUGCCACUCAGUUUCCAUGUCCCCAGGGAACUUACAACCUACAAAAUAGAAGCAGUCUCCUGUCUCACUGUACCCCCUGUGACCCAGGGCACUACUGUGCACUGCCAGGGCAGUCACACGUUACAGGAGCCUGCUGGGCUGGGUUCUACUGCAGUGGAGGCGCUUCUAGUCCAACACCUACGGAUGGUCUCCUGGGGAACACAUGCCCCAAGGGAGCUUACUGCCCUGCAGGCACUGCAUUUCCACAGCCAUGUCCUCCUGGUUACUACAGCAACUCAACUGGGAAUACUGGGAUCGAAGACUGUCUCCUGUGUGAUGCAGGGUAUUUCUGCAAUGGGACUGGACUUUUAUCUCCAACUGGAUUAUGUGAAGCCGGAUUCUACUGUAGUGGAGGAGCCAUUUCUCCUAAACCUCCCAGGACAACAAUCAGUGGAGGACCAUGUCCACCUGGACAUUACUGCAUGGUGGGGAGCAGCAGAGCCCAGCCUUGCCCUGCAGGGAGUUAUAACCCAUCCUGGAGUAUGGCACAAUGUUUGGAGUGCCCAGAAGGUUUUUACUGUAAGACUGCUUCCACCAACUACACAGAUUGCCCUGCAGGUCACUAUUGCCCCAGGAAUACAGAAUUUGCCUCGCAGUAUCCUUGUCCUCCUGGAACCUACAGCGAAGCUUUAA